rnacentral:rRNA from 1 species
UACGAAGGGGGCUAGCGUUGUUCGGAAUUACUGGGCGUAAAGCGCACGUAGGCGGAUAUUUAAGUCAGGGGUGAAAUCCCAGAGCUCAACUCUGGAACUGCCUUUGAUACUGGGUAUCUCGAGUCCGAGAGAGGUGAGUGGAAUUCCGAGUGUAGAGGUGAAAUUCGUAGAUAUUCGGAGGAACACCAGUGGCGAAGGCGGCUCACUGGCUCGGUACUGACGCUGGAGGUGCGAAAGCGUGGGGAGCAAACAGG